rnacentral:rRNA from 1 species
GAUGAACGCUGGCGGCAUGCCUAACACAUGCAAGUCGAACGGGCAGUGGUGUUUCCAGUGGCGAACGGGUGAGUAACGCGUGAGAACCUGCCCUUGGGAGGGGAACAACAACUGAAAACGGUUGCUAAUACCCCGUAGGCCGAGGACCGAAAGAAGUACUCCGCCCAAGGGGGGGCUCGCGUCUGAUUAGCUAGUUGGUGAGGUAAUAGCUUACCGAGGCGAUGAUCAGUAGCUGUUCCGAGAGGGUGAUCCGCCACACUGAGACUGAGACACGCCGCAGAGACCUCUGGGAGACGGCGGAGGGGAAGAUUCCGCAAUGGGGGGGAGGCUGAGAUAGCAAUGCGGCGGGGAAGUGGUGGGCGUACGGGUCGUCAACUGCUUUUCUCGCAGAGGAAACAAUGACGGUACCUGAGGAAUAAGCCUCGGCUAACUCCGUG